UAGUCGUUGAAAGAAGUCUGAAGGCAAUAAACUUACUAGGGAAGUAGUGAAAUUUUGGACAUUUUUUAUAUUAGGUAAAUUGUUUCUUUGUUAUUGGGAAAAUCCCCCUCUACAAGCAAUAUACCAAAAAGUAGAGACCCUACAAUAAGACAUGGUUCUUGACAAAAGUUACCUAUAUACAAACCAGAAACUCAAAGGUGCGCCAAAAGGGAACUAGAGGUAUCAUGAUAUUCCUCAAAUAAACAAAAUCUUGUUCUACCUUUCUAUUUCUCUCCUUCCAAACUACUCACAUAAGAGCUAGAGG
rnacentral:misc_RNA from 1 species